UUUGGGCGUGUCUCCCUUCUCGGGAGACUCUCUCGACCCCACGAACCCUUGACCUCAAAUCGGGUGAGACUACCCGCUGAACUUAAGCAUAUCAAUAA
rnacentral:rRNA from 1 species